AUUGAACGCUGGCGGCAGGCCUAACACAUGCAAGUCGAGCGGCUGAAGGGUGCUUGCUCCUGGAUUCAGCGGCGGACGGGUGAGCAAUGCCUAGGAAUCUGCCUGGCUGUGGGGGAUAACGUGCGGAAACGGGCGCUAAUACCCCAUACGUCCUUAGGACGUACGGGGGGAAUCUUGGGACCUUCGGCUCUUGGAUGAUCCAAGGAGGCGAUGUCGGAUUGGCUAGUUAGCGGGGUAAAGGGCCACCAAGGCGACGAUCCGCAACUGGUCUGAGAGGAUGAUCAGUCAAACUGGAACUGAGACACGGUCCAGACUCCUACGGGAGGCAGCAGUGGGGAAUAUUGGACAAUGGGCGAAAGCCUGAUCCAGCCAUGCCGCGUGUGUGAAGAAGGUCUUCGGGUUGUAAAGCCCUUUUAUUUGGGAAGAAAGGCAGCAAGUUAAUACCCUGCUGUUUUGACGUUACCAACAGAAUAAGCACCGGCUAACUUCGUG
rnacentral:rRNA from 1 species